UACAGAGGGUGCGAGCGUUAAUCGGAGUUACUGGGCGUAAAGGGCGCGUAGGCGGUUUUAUGUGUGUGAUGUGAAAGCCCCGGGCUUAACCUGGGAAGAGCAUCGCAAACUGUAAGACUGGAGUAUAUGAGAGGGUGUCGGAAUUUCCGGUGUAGCGGUGAAAUGCGUAGAGAUCGGAAGGAACGUCGAUGGCGAAGGCAGACACCUGGCAUAAUACUGACGCUGAGGCGCGAAAGCGUGGGGAGCGAACAGG
rnacentral:rRNA from 1 species